rnacentral:lncRNA from 1 species
AUGAAUUUAGUAGAUCGUUUUAGGAGGUCCUAAUGACUAUAGAUCGAACCUAUCCAAUUUUUACAGUACAAUGGUUGGCUGUUCACGGCCUAGCUGUACCUACCGUGUUUUUGGGAUCAAUAUCAACAAUGCAGUUCAUCCAACGAUAAACUUAAUCCGAAUUAUAGAGCUACGGCACAAUCAAACUCGAACGAACAAAAUGUUGAAUUGAAUCGUACCAGUCUCUACUGGGUGUUAUUACUCAUUUUUGUACUUGCUGUUUCAUUUUCCAAUUAUUUCUUCAAUUAUGAAAACGAAAGAGAAUCAAUAAGAUUCUCUUAGCUCAUUCGGAAGGAUCUCAUAAUUUAAUUAUCCAUGACUGUUUAUGUCUCUAGCAUGACCACUUGAUGAAAUCUGGAGGGAAGUGGGGUAAAUGGCCGAUACUACUAGAAGGAUUCCUCUUUGGAUAAUAGGUACUGUAGCUGGUAUUCUUGUAAUCGGUUUAAUAGGUAUUUUCUUUAUGGUUCAUAUUCCGGAUUGGGUUCUAUAUAAAAUGGUGGAUGUACAAAUCCACAACGGAUCCUGUCCUUCAAGUCGCACGUUGCUUUCUACACAUCGUUACAAACGAAGUUUUACCAUAACAUUCCUCUAAGAACCGGUAUG